GAUGAACGCUGGCGGCGUGCCUAAUACAUGCAAGUCGAGCGAACGGACGAGACUCUUGCUUCUCUGAUGUUAGCGGCGGACGUGUGAGUCACACGUGUAUACCCUACCUAUAAUACUGGGAUCACUUCGGGAAACCGGAGCUAAUACCGGAUAAUCUUUUGCACCGCAUGGUUCAAAAGUGAAAGACGGUCUUGCUGUCACUUCUAGAUGGAUCCGCGCUGCAUUAGCUAGUUGGUAAGGUAACGGCUUACCAAGGCAACGAUGCAUAGACGACCUGAGAGGGGGAUAGGCGACACGGGAGCUGAGACACCGACAAGACGCCUACGGGAGGCAGCAGUAGGGAAUCGUCCGCAGUGGGCGAAAGUCUGACGGAGUAACGCCGCGUCAGUGAUGAAGGUCUUCGGAGCGUAAAACUCUGUUAUUAGGGAUGAACAUAUGUGUAAGUAACUGUGCAGAGAGUGACGGUACCUAAUCAGAAAGCAACGGCUAACUACGUG
rnacentral:rRNA from 1 species